rnacentral:rRNA from 1 species
UACGUAGGGUGCAAGCGUUGUCCGGAAUUAUUGGGCGUAAAGAGCUCGUAGGCGGUUUGUUGCGUCGGCUGUGAAAUCCCGAGGCUCAACCUCGGGUCUGCAGUCGAUACGAGUAAACUAGAGUGUUGCAGGGGAGACUGGAAUUCCUGGUGUAGCGGUGAAAUGCGCAGAUAUCAGGAGGAACACCGGUGGCGAAGGCGGGUCUCUGGGCAGUAACUGACGCUGAGGAGCGAAAGCGUGGGGAGCGAACAGG